rnacentral:rRNA from 1 species
UACGGAGGUGGCAAGCGUUGCUCGGAAUCACUGGGCGUAAAGCGCGCGUAGGCGGUUACUUAAGUCGGAUGUGAAAGCCCUCGGCUUAACUGAGGAAGUGCACCCGAAACUGAGUAGCUAGAGUACUAAAGAGGGUCGCGGAAUUCCCGGUGUAGAGGUGAAAUUCGUAGAUAUCGGGAGGAACACCGGUGGCGAAGGCGGCGACCUGGGUAGAGACUGACGCUGAGGCGCGAAAGCGUGGGGAGCAAACAGG